CCGGUCAUGCGGCCUCGCUUGCACACCUUCCUCCAGCCUGCAGGUGGCGCACCAAGUCGCUGUGCCAGUUUUCCAGGAAUUUGCAGGACCAUCCAUCCUCCCGUGCUUUUCCCUAAACCAACAUUUGCAGUCCUGGCUACCCAGCCCUUCCCGAGGUCCGAGGUCCCAGAAACUGCCCCCAGCUCUGGACCUUCGAUCCAGAAAGUCCAGAUGAGACAUGCAGCAAGACCCGGGCGCUUCUUCGGUGUUUACCUGCUCUACUGCCAGAACCCUCGGCAUCGGGGCCGCGUUUACGUGGGAUUCACUGUCAAUCCUGAUCGUCGGGUCCGACAACACAACGCCGGUCGCAAAAAAGGUGGCGCCUGGAGGACCAGCGGGCGAGGACCCUGGGACAUGGUGCUGAUCAUACACGGUUUCCCGUCUGCUGUGGCCGCCCUUCGGUUUGAGUGGGCCUGGCAACAUCCUCAAGCUUCACGCCGCCUGACACACGUGGGGCCGCGCCUGCGCAGUGAGGCUGCCUUUGCCUUCCACUUGCGCGUGCUGGCGCACAUGCUUCGAAUUCCUCCGUGGGUGCGCCUUCCUCUGACACUGCGCUGGCUGCGACCUGACUUCCGCCAUGAACUCUGUCCAGCGCCACCACCACACAUGCCCAUUGCCUUUGGACCACCACCACCUCAGCCCUUGGUCUCAAAACGACCCACUGCAAGUGAGGCUGACAGCCAGCAACAGCUGGAACUAGGUGCCAAGAACAGCUGCACUCUGUGUGCCCGUAUGCUGCAGGAUGAAGAGGGCCCCUUGUGCUGCCCCCACCCUGGUUGUUCCCUAAGGGCCCAUAUCAUCUGCUUGGCAGAGGAGUUCCUGCAGGAGGAGCCCGGGCAACUUCUGCCCCUAGAGGGCCAUUGUCCUAGCUGCAAGAAGUCUCUACUUUGGGGAAACCUGGUUGGGCAGUGCCAUGUGGACACCGAGGAGGAAGAGGACUUGGAAUUAGAGGAGGAACACUGGACAGACUUGCUGGAGACUUGAUCCUGUGUCCCCAACCUUCAUCCCUGCACCUUUUCUGCCUCUCUCUCUCCAGUAACUGGCAGCUUUUAUUGAGCACAAUAAAAAGGCUGAGUUAAGGAGGUAACAGCUACUGGCUGGUGUUGGAAACCUCCUGUCCAUCACUAGUGAUUCUGAACGGCAUCCCAAUGGACAAAGACUUUGCAGAGGGGACUGCUGCACUCAAAACUUGCAAGCCUUUCCUGAUGACCUGCUUGUCAGCACAUUCCCAAAAUCCAGUCACCCAGGAGAGUCCCAUAACCAUCUCUGUAGCUGCCACCAUGGCAGGCAGAGCCAAGCCCUCAACCCCAGUCAAGUUCCACUCCCCCCUCUCCAGGUACCACGUGGGUCACUGAGAGACUGGAUAGGAUUUAUCAGGAUGUUGACCUAGAGAAGUAUCGCUAGGCCCCAUCAAGUUUCAGGUUCCCUUCCUAGAGUUCAAAAGCUCUGGUGACCCCUCAUGUAUAUGGAGAAAUAUUAGGAAAAUGACAUGCAAUGAGACAGGACCAGGGUCUUGAAGCUCCGGAAAACACUCCAGCCCUGAGAUUUCUCAAAACACACUUGCCUGUGUCUCUGGUCCCCCAGAGCUUGCUGGAUAUGCCCUUGGUCCUGUGCAGCUGAGGUCUUAUCUGCCUCAUGAAGUGAGAGGCCAUUGUUCUGUCAGUGUUGUGGGGUUCAGGGUACAGGUCUGAGAGAAGGGGAGUCACAGAAAAAGGCACUCACAGAACAUGGAAGAGCACUGGCUAGUCCCAGAUCUGCCUUGUUCUAGUACAGGUAUGGUGGCCCCUCAGAAGAGAAACCUGUUUUUGACAUCUGCAUAGGUGGCUUGUCCUUGCUGCAAAUAAAAUAGAACUCCAGGUUCCUUCUGAAUCUUGGCUUCAGGCCACAGUAUACCUUUUUUCUGGGUUGUACUGAGGCAGGACAUCACAGUAAAAGUGCAUGCAAGGGGGAACAGUAAAGAAUGAGACACCCUCCCCCCAACACCUCAGGCAAAGCCAUCCAACCACGAGUCAUGAGUGGAUCGAUCUUGUUAGGUCAGUCCUCGUGAGCUCGUCGUCACUUCACAACAGUGCUGCCCAGCUAGAGUGACACCUUCAACAAGAGUGCUUUGGGGAGACUCCAUGUCUAACCCAAGCCAGGAACCAAAUCCCAGGUCAAUGGUACCCGUAUCACAAGGCUGCAACAGUCCAGCCUUCAAGCUGGUUUCUCCUUUACCACAGAAGAUUCCCUCAGUGUGCUGUGAAGAGUGACAGGAAUACAGCAUGGGUCAACAUAGAGUCACAUGCCUUUAAUAUGGGCACUGGAGAAGCUGACAGGUCUUUAUGAAUUUGAGGGUAGCCUGGUCUACAUAGUGAAUUCCAGCUCACCCAGAGCUACUCUCCAACUCUCAAACAAAAUAAUAACAAA